CAAUUUUCCUGAAGUUUAAUUUUUACUUUUUAUUUCUAUUCUAUUUUUCAAGCUGGUGGAAGCGACGAACUUAAUUGUGCAUUUUUUCUUCAGGGAGUUCUUUCCAAAAAAAGACUUUCUUUUGUUUGUGUACCAAGCCUGUCCAUGAGGACACUGCCCUUACAACUCACGAAUAGAUUGAAUCCAGAAAUCCUCUUGCUUUUGCUCCCAAAGUGAUUGGUAGUUCACAUUAUCUAUCUGAAGCCAGGUUUGCCAGUGAAUUUAGGACUCAUGUUGUGCUCACCUGGUGCUUAAGCACAUUUAAAUAUUCUCUUUAUUUAUUCAUUUCAGGAUGGGUCCAACAAAACUUCCACUUCAGCUCGACAUAAGAGAAGAUGCAAUUGCAAAAAAUUUGGUUGCCUGAAGAAAUAUUGUGAAUGCUAUUAGGUUUCUUUUAAUCUUUUCUGAUUAUGCGACAAGAUAAGAUAUCAUCUCUUUCUAUUUUUUUUUUCUCUUUAUCAUCUUUCUAUUGAAGGGUGGUGUUGGAUGCCCUGUUGGCUGAAGAUGUGAAGGGUGUGAGAAUGCAUUUGGUCGAAAGGACGGUGAGUGUGGUUUUAUGAGUUUCUUUAUUAUGAUUUGCAAUUUUAUUUUCCUUUCUGAGUUGGGCUUUUCUUUAACAAGUAGUGGAGUUGAAUUUGAAGAAGAUGAAAUAUACACAACUGAAAAGGGCGUGCAGAAAUCCUUAAUCCAAAAUGAUCUGGAGCAGAAUCUUGAUUCUAUCCCUCCUGCAACACCUUUAUCUCAAGGAAGGUAAAAAUUAUAUGAAAAUCUUUGUCUCCAAUUGCUAAGGUUGUUAAUAAAUAGUGUUGUUUCAAUUAAUGUUCUUGUUCUAUUUGACAAACCGUCCAGCAUCCAUUCUCCUCGAAGAACAAACUGCUUAUACCUUCUUUUCCUUAUAUUGGCUCCUUAUAAUAAGUUGUUAGCUUUCAGCAUCUCUUCUUCUAUACAAAUUGGUAUUUUCAAUUAAUUAUAUAAAAUUUAAGCAAUAUUCCUAAA
rnacentral:lncRNA from 1 species